CCCUUAGAUGUUCUGGGCCGCACGCGCGCUACACUGAUGAAUGCAACGAGCUCUACCCUUGACCGAAAGGCCCGGGUAAACUUGUGAAACUUCAUCGUGAUGGGGAUAGAUUAUUGCAAUUAUUAAUCUUCAACGAGGAAUUCCUAGUAAGCGCGAGUCAUCAGCUCGCGUUGAUUACGUCCCUGCCCUUUGUACACACCGCCCGUCGCUCCUACCGAUUGAAUGGUCCGGUGAAAUCUUCGGAUUGCUGACCAAGAUCCAGCAAUGGAGCUUGGUUGCGAGAAGUUGAUUAAACCUUAUUAUUUAGAGGAAGGAGAANUCGUAACA
rnacentral:rRNA from 1 species